CGGGACGGGGUGGAGUAAUGUCUGGGAAACUGCCUGAUGGAGGGGGAUAACUACUGGAAACGGUAGCCAAUACCGCAUAACGUCGCAAGACCAAAGAGGGGGACCGUUCGGGCCUCUUGCCAUCGGAUGUGCCCAGAUGGGAUUAGCUAGUAGGUGGGGUAACGGCUCACCUAGGCGACGAUCCCUAGCUGGUCUGAGAGGAUGGCCAGCCACACUGGAACUGAGACACGGUCCAG
rnacentral:rRNA from 1 species